GUACAACUGCGACGAGUGUGAAGUAGCCCUGACUUUGAAAGAACUGGAGUACCGCCAUAUCAGCGUGCAUUUCUUCGAGCCGGAAUAUGAGAGGUAUCACUUUCUGACAAUGCCAGCUUUCAAGUCAUAGAAGGAAAAGGUGGAGAAAGACACUCGCAGUCACUUCAUUGCAAGGACAGGUACAGAGACUUGUGGCCACCUGAAAAAGAAGCAUUUCUACUUCGUCUGUCACCGGUCUGGAAGUUAUGCUUCACAAGCUACAAGUAAACAAAAGCUGAAGCGGCCUUCAAGUGUCAAGUGUGGAAAAAGAUGUUUUGCGAC